UACGUAGGGUGCAAGCGUUAAUCGGAAUUACUGGGCGUAAAGCGUGCGCAGGCGGUUUUGUAAGUCAGAUGUGAAAUCCCCGGGCUUAACCUGGGAACUGCGUUUGAAACUACAAGGCUAGAGUGUGACAGAGGGGGGUGGAAUUCCACGUGUAGCAGUGAAAUGCGUAGAGAUGUGGAGGAACACCGAUGGCGAAGGCAGCCCUCUGGGCUGAGAUUGACGCUCAGGCACGAAAGCGUGGGGAGCAAACAGG
rnacentral:rRNA from 1 species